rnacentral:tRNA from 1 species
GCCCCUAUAGUUCAAUGGACAGAAUUUGAGCUUCCGAAGCUUAAGGUGCUGGUUCGAAUCCAGCUUGGGGCA